GAUCAUGGCUCAGGAUGAACGCUAGCUACAGGCUUAACACAUGCAAGUCGAGGGGAAACGAUAUUGGAAGCCUGCUUCCGAUAGGCGUCGACCGGCGCACGGGUGAGUAACGCGUAUCCAACCUGCCCACCACUUGGGGAUAACCUUGCGAAAGUAAGACUAAUGCCCAAUGACAUCCCACCGAAGGCAUCCGAAUGGGAUUAAAGAUUUAUCGGUGAUGGAUGGGGAGUGCGUCUGAUUAG
rnacentral:rRNA from 1 species